rnacentral:rRNA from 1 species
CUAGUGAUUCUCAAGGAUUAAGCCAUGCAUAUAUAAGUAUAAAUAGCUUACCGUAAGACUGUGGAUGGUUUAUUAAAUCAGUUAUAGUUUAUAUGAUAGAUUCAACAUGGAUAACUGUAGGAAAUCUAGAGCUAAUACAUCGUACGAAAACCUGAAAUGUAAGGUUGUAUUUAUUAGAUACUAACCGAUGGUGAAUCAUAAUAACUUUGCGAAUCUUGACAUUUGUCAAGAUAUAUCAUUUAAGUUUCUGCUUUAUCAGCUCUGGAUGUUAGUGUAUUGGACUAACAUGGCUAUCACGAAUAACGGAGUAUUAGGGUAUGAUACCGAAAAUCGAGCGAUGAAAAAUGGCUAGAAUGACUAUGGUUAGCAGCAGGCGCGUAAAUUAUCCACUCCUAAUUCAGGGAGAUAGUGAAAAAACAUACUGACCCGGCAGAUGUAAAUUUGCCCGUUGGAAAUUGCAAAAAAUAAAUCACUUUGCGAAUUAUAUUGGAGGAAAAGUCUGGUGCCAGCACCCGCGGUAAUUCCAGCUCCAAUAAGAAAUAUUAAAGUUGUUGCUGUUAAAAAGCUCGUAGUUGAAAUUCUGGGCUUUAUGUUUAGGCCGGGUAACUAGUCUUGCAUAAAGCUCAUCUGUCUGUUAAUCAAUUUGUUAUUCGCGUAACAUUUUGAAGCUCAGGCAUUUUACUGUGAGAAAAUUAGAGUGUUUCAGGCAGGCUUUAGCCGGAAUAUAUUAGCAUGGAAUAAUGGAAUGGGCUAGAAAUCCAUGGUUAGAUGGAGAUUUAGUCACGGUUAAUAGGAACGGUUGGGGGUGAUAGUAUUUAAUUAUUAGAGGUGAAAUUCUUGGAUUUGUUAAAGACUAACAUAUGCGAAGGCAUUCGCCAAGGAUGUUUUCAUUAAUCAAGAACGAAAGUUUGGGGAUCAAAUGAGAUCAGACACCUCAGUAGUCCAAACCAUAAACUAUACCGACUAGAGAUUGGAGGAAUUUAAUGUUCCUUCAGCAUCUUAGAGAAAUUAAAGUUUUUGGGUUCAGGGGGAAGUAUGGUCGCAAGACUGAAACUUAAAGGAAUUGACGGAAUGAUACCACAAGAAGUGGAGCCUGCGGUUCAAUUUGACUCAACACGGGAAAACUUACUAACUUAAGACUCGGGAAGGAUUGACAGAUUAAUCGUUCUUUCUUAAUUCCAAGGAUAGUGGCGCAUGGCCGUUCUAAGCCAGUGAUGUGAAUUGCCUGGUUAAUUCCGAUAACAAGCGAGACCAUUGCCUGCUAACUAGUUGUUUAGGUUCACUAAAAUAACUUCUUAGAGGGACUGUGUACGUUAAGUAUAAGGAAGUUAAUGGCAAUAACAGGUCAGUGAUGCCCUAAGAUAAGCUAGGCCACACGCGUGUUACACUGAUGCAUUUUAACAAGUUUAAAGUAUUGAAAAACUACUUUUAAUCAUCAAUAUGCAUCGUGAUGGGAAUAGAUCUUUGUAAUUAUCGAUCUUGAACGAGGAAUUUCUUGUAAGCGUUUGUCAUCAUCGAGCGCUGAAUAAGUCCCUAUCAUUUGUACACACCGCCCAUCGCUUCCACUAAAUCCGGGUAAUUAUGCGAAUUUAACUGAUUUCGAAAGUAAUUUUGCAUGAAGUUACGUGAGC